rnacentral:tRNA from 1 species
GCCUGGGUGGCUCAGUGGGUUGAGCGUCUGACUUCAGCUCAGGUCAUGAUCUCGCAGUUCAAAAGUUUGAGCCCCUUGUCAGGCU